rnacentral:rRNA from 1 species
GACGAACGCUGGCGGCGUGCUUAACACAUGCAAGUCGAACGGAAAGGCCCUGCUUUUGUGGGGUGCUCGAGUGGCGAACGGGUGAGUAACACGUGAGUAACCUGCCCUUGACUUUGGGAUAACUUCAGGAAACUGGGGCUAAUACCGGAUAGGAGCUCCUGCUGCAUGGGGGGGGUUGGAAAGUUUCGGCGGUUGGGGAUGGACUCGCGGCUUAUCAGCUUGUUGGUGGGGUAGUGGCUUACCAAGGCUUUGACGGGUAGCCGGCCUGAGAGGGUGACCGGCCACAUUGGGACUGAGAUACGGCCCAGACUCCUAUGGGAGGCAGCAGUGGGGAAUAUUGCACAAUGGGCGGAAGCCUGAUGCAGCAACGCCGCGUGCGGGAUGACGGCCUUCGGGUUGUAAACCGCUUUCGCCUGUGACGAAGCGUGAGUGACGGUAAUGGGUAAAGAAGCACCGGCUAACUACGUG